rnacentral:lncRNA from 1 species
AACCUCCUCUUCAAAGGCUAAUCCUUUGCUGGAAAUAAUUCCCACUGUUCGAGAUGACAUCGGGAGACUCGAACAGGCUGAGCUUCCACCUGUCGCUGAUGCAUGCCGAUCAACUGUAUUCCCUGGAGGACGAAACUACUCUACCAAUUCCGCACAUCAGGGGAAUGCCUCAGACAGAGGCCGUCACCAGUAUCGUCAGACAUAUUGCCGCUAUUCCAGUGUUGCAAGUUCGCCUCGAAUGCAUAUGUAGGACAUACUUGUGCCUUAUGGAGAAAGGCGUCCUUGGUCCCUGGGUUGUAUAUCAACUCAGGGGGGCUCAAGUUCAAGCUGAUGCGAAUUUCGUGAUCAGCUAUUUAGAGAAUCGUGAUUUGAACCGCGGAUUCGUUCAUUCCAUGGACAGAAGCUCAGGGUGCAUUCACAUGUGUGCAUUGGUGCUGGAAAGUUACACCGCGAGUGCUGGUUUUCAUGUCUAUUGCUUCUGCUUGAGGCCGUUGUGGGGGUGUGUGGCAGUCUAUGGACAUCCUAAAGAAUAUUUCUUCGGAUCAAGCCAACUUAUCAACAAGAUGCUUAGGAACAAUCCCCAAGUCACCAGAUGUGGCGUUUACGCGGAAUUGGAGACGGUGCAUCGAGUUGUCACCUGCCUGUAUAUACAUACCUGAUGUCGCUUCGUUCUGCCAACACAGCCACUUUGGGUACCAGCCAGUGAAGACGUGUUUAAUUCAUCAAGAGGAAGUCUCGAGAGGAAGAACAAGGAACUCACUGGAAUGCUCAGAACUAUGACGAUGCUCCUCCAAGACAAAGUUGUCCCCAGCAUGAUGCGGAGCCGAAUCGAACUUGUACUUAUGACCUUGUGACCCACUAUCCCAACAUUAUGUCCACGUUUCCCCUAAACUAUUAAAAAAUCAUCGUGAUUUGGUACGUGAAAGUGAAGGUUUGGCAGAUCAUUUGCAAACUGAUCAUUUCUUCGAUGUGUUCUGUAUAAUCGCAUGACGCGGCGGAACUUUCACAACUUGUAAAACCGUCUGCAUUGACUCAUUCUGGCAACUAUAACAAGUGAUUGCAGCUUGUUAACCAGGUAUAUUGCAAAGCGGCACUUCAUCAACUGUUGUACACUAUUGAGCACAAUAGGUGGUGCUUAUAUUACGAAGUCUCUUGCUACGGCACGCAUAGAAAAUAUAUUGAGCCCUUAGUUGGUUUGCUUCACGGUCUUUAUUUUCUACACUGCUGGCUUGUCUAAUGCAUAAAUCUAUAGGCUUAAUUGUAGGCAGCACGCAUAGUUGAAUAACGUCUUGUCAUAUAACUUACUCUCAAUGAAGUUGAACCUUUGGUCUUCAAAGCAUGAAUUCUUAGUCGACACGGUUGGCAAAUUCUUUAUUUUCACUGGUUUCAAAAUAAUCACAAGACCACUGUUGCCGGCACAUGCCUUCUUACUUUAUUAAAUUGUAAAUUCAAUGUAUCGCCUUAUGUUUUUCACCAUGUUUUUCAUAAUCAUUCAUUUAUAUGGUUCAUUAAGAAAUGUGAAAAUAUUGUGAUUUUAAAGGCUGCGAGUACGAAAUAGUGUAUUCAUUAAACAGUGUGACUAGA